CCCUUCUCAGGGUCACACCUGGAGAGUUUCCAGUACUCUGCCAGUCUCGGCUUUGGGAGGGAGAAUCAAGCAGUGGCCCACCCAUUCCAUUCCUAGCUUGGCCAGGGGCUAGUGAGUGGAAGGCAAUCUGCUACAAGU